rnacentral:rRNA from 1 species
UUUCGAAUCAUCCACAAUGGGCGAAAGCCUGACCCAGCAACGCCGCGUGAAGGAUGAAGUAUUUCGGUAUGUAAACUUCGAAAGAAUAGGAAGAAUAAAUGACGGUACUAUUUAUAAGGUCCGGCUAACUACGUGCCAGCAGCCGCGGUAAUACGUAGGGACCAAGCGUUGUUCGGAUUUACUGGGCGUAAAGGGCGCGUAGGCGGCAAUUCAAGUCAUCUGUGAAAUCUCCGGGCUUAACUCGGAACGGUCAGAUGAUACUGCUUUGCUAGAGUGCAGAAGGGGCAAUCGGAAUUCUUGGUGUAGCGGUGAAAUGCGUAGAUAUCAAGAGGAACACCUGAGGUGAAGACGGGUUGCUGGGCUGACACUGACGCUGAGGCGCGAAAGCCAGGGGAGCAAACGGGAUUAGAUACCCACGUAGUCCCUGAGCGGGCUGGCAAGGCGCAU